rnacentral:rRNA from 1 species
UACGUAGGGCGCAAGCGUUGUCCGGAAUUAUUGGGCGUAAAGAGCUCGUAGGCGGUCUGUCGCGUCGGCUGUGAAAACCCGAGGCUCAACCUCGGGCCUGCAGUCGAUACGGGCAGACUAGAGUGCUGUAGGGGAGACUGGAAUCCCUGGUGUAGCGGUGGAAUGCGCAGAUAUCAGGAGGAACACCAAUGGCGAAGGCAGAUCUCUGGGCCGUAACUGACGCUGAGGAGCGAAAGCAUGGGGAGCGAACAGG